rnacentral:rRNA from 1 species
GAUGAACGCUGGCGGCGUGCCUAACACAUGCAAGUCGAGCGAUUCUCUUCGGAGAAGAGCGGCGGACGGGUGAGUAACGCGUGGGUAACCUGCCCUGUACACACGGAUAACAUACCGAAAGGUAUGCUAAUACGAGAUAAUAUACUCUUAUCGCAUGGUAGGAGUAUCAAAGCUUUUGCGGUACAGGAUGGACCCGCGUCUGAUUAGCUAGUUGGUAAGGUAACGGCUUACCAAGGCGACGAUCAGUAGCCGACCUGAGAGGGUGAGCGGCCACAUUGGAACUGAGACACGGUCCAAACUCCUACGGGAGGCAGCAGUGGGGAAUAUUGCACAAUGGGCGAAAGCCUGAUGCAGCAACGCCGCGUGAGCGAUGAAGGCCUUCGGGUCGUAAAGCUCUGUCCUCAAGGAAGAUAAUGACGGUACUUGAGGAGGAAGCCCCGGCUAACUACGUGCCAGCCGCCGCAGUAAAAC